GCUUCCUUAGCUCAGUUGGUUAGAGCGUCCGACUCAUAAUCGGUAGGUCGCAAGUUCAAGUCUUGCAGGAAGCACCA
rnacentral:tRNA from 1 species